rnacentral:rRNA from 1 species
UUGGAGGGCAAGUCUGGUGCCGGCAGCCGCGGUAAUUCCAGCUCCAAUAGCGUAUAUUAAAGUUGUUGCAGUUAAAAAGCUCGUAGUUGAAUUUCGGGAUUGACGUGAUGGUCAUGCCUUAAGGGGUAUGAACUGUUACUGUUGAUUUCUCACCUUCUGGAGAAACUUGAUGUCCUUUAUUGGGUGUCUUGCGGAUCCAGGACCUUUACCUUGAAAAAAUUAGAGUGUUUAAAGCAGGCAUUUUUUGCUCGAAUACAUUAGCAUGGAAUAAUAGAAUAGGACGGCAUGGUUCUAUUUUGUUGGUUUCUAGGAUCACCGUAAUGAUUAAUAGGGAUAGUUGGGGGCAUUAGUAUUCAAUUGUCAGAGGUGAAAUUCUUGGAUUUAUUGAAGACUAACUACUGCGAAAGCAUUUGCCAAGGAUGUUUUCAUUAAUCAAGAACGAAAGUUAGGGGAUCGAAGACGAUCAGAUACCGUCGUAGUCUUAACCAUAAACUAUGCCGACUAGGAAUCAGACGAUGUUAAUUUUUUAAUGACUCGUUUGGCACCUUACGGGAAACCAAAGUGUUUGGGUUC